AAUAAUCCUCUGAACAUCGGCUCCCCAUGGGGCUGCCUAACCCCAGCGGCGUUUCCUAGCGCUGUGUCCCGCGGUCGAGCGUGCUGGUCCAACACGCCGGCACCGCAGCAGAACCGGCAGCUCCGCACGCGGCCGAGCCCCACUGCCUCCUCCCAGCCUGCUCAGUGCAACCUCACGGACCCGCGGCAUCGCAUCCCGGCAGCAUCCAGUGCACACACGCGCUCCCCCAGCUGCUCAUUCCAGUUCGGACAGUGUAAACUGGGAAGAAACUUCUCAAGUACGGGCAAAGCCGGGGUAGGGCUGGGCAGCAGCAACCUCUCGAGAAGCCACCACAAACGGAGAGCCCCUGGAGCACGACUCGGCCUCGCAGGAUGCCCUUGCGUGGGCGGCAGAGUCRGGGGGAGAAAUUCCCAUCUCUGCAAGGAGACGCUCGCGGGGCUCCCAGGACAGACACAAGGCUGCAAUGGAGCGUGGAGGGCUCUGCCGAGGCGUCGGCGAACCUCAGCCCGCGUCCCGGAGGGAACCGACCCCGCUUCACCCUGGGCUGCCCCUUCUUAAGCUCCAGUAUGAAAUAUUGUUUCAGUCGGUUUUAAAUUACCAAUGUCUUAAUGGUCUAGCAGUUCUUGGCCUUCCCUUUUGAUGUCAUUAGAAAUGGAGUUACACAACUGCUUGAUGGAAAAGCUGGUGUCCCACAAGAAUAGCCCCAAGCACCCGGAGCGUUGCGUAACCAGAACAUGUGGCUUUUUGUUUCCUUCUUUCCUUUCUUUCUUUUUUCUUUUUUCUUUUUUUUUUUUUUAAAUUACAGCCCAAGAACACUGUAGCCUCGGUUAAAGGCACAGGUACCUUCGCAGAGGGAGAGGAAACCUUCCCGGCAAUCCCCAGAGAGCAAGGCCCAGACUCCACCACCAAGGUUGAUGCAACCCCGCGCUCCUGCAGCACUGACACGGGCUGGGAAACUGUGUCCGUCGGGAAAAGCUUUGCUUAACCUCGGCUCCCCUCGAGGGCCCUGCUCCCCCCCGCAUCGCAGCCCCGCAGCUGAGGCAAGCUGCAAGCAUAGGAGCUGCUCGGAGGAGCCAGAUUCGUGCUCCUGCCUCCGCCGCCUGCAGCGACAGCAACGGGAGAACAACAACAAAGCCAUUUCAUGAGAAUUUCAACCCAGUGGGAGGAUCUUUAAAGUUUGUUCAGCAGUGCAGAGUCCCUUUGAACUGAGUAUCCACUGAGGGUGCCAUCAAAAACAAAAGUGUGUUUACCAGGAGACAACAUCUGAGAUGGAAAACACUGCAAAUACUGCAGGAAGUUAAAAAAAAAAAAAAAAAAAAAAAAAAAAAAAAUUUCAUCCUCAGUAGAUGUUCUACUAAACACAGACUUAGGAUACCCUGUUGGACUAAGCAGUCCUUUAGUAUCAGACUCUAUCUCAGACCAUCUGCUUAGUGCAAGAAAAAAAAAAAAAA
rnacentral:lncRNA from 1 species